UACGUAGGGGGCGAGCGUUAUCCGGAUUUAUUGGGCGUAAAGCGCACGCAGGCGGUCGUGCAAGUUCGGGGUGAAAGCUCCCGGCUUAACCGGGAGAGGGCCGCGAAGACUGUGCGACUUGAGAGCGAGAGAGGGACACGGAACUCCGCAUGGAGCAGUGACAUGCGUAGAGAUGUGGAGGAACACCAGUGGCGAAGGCGACUCUUUGGCCUGUAACUGACGCUGAGGCGCGAAAGCGUGGGGAGCAAACAGG
rnacentral:rRNA from 1 species